AUAUUAAAUAACGAUUGUGUAUGCAAAUGUCAAUGGUUGGUAACGCCCAUAAUAUGAAUAUUCAUGAGCUUGACUGAUAUUAUUAUCCUCUAUUCCAGGCACCUUUCCAUUUUGUGUUCUUUGUGCAUUCUUAUCAGAAAUCCUACGUGCGGUAAAUAAGUCUCUGUAUCACUAUUCUCCUUCUUAUUUGUAUGCAGAUUUGGUUAUAAUAAUUGAUAACUGUAAUCAUCCUCAUUAUUUUAAUAAGAAAUUUUUCUAUCUGUGAUGGAAGUUUUUAUGUACGAUUGCCUGAUCUGAAGACAAGACUUUCGCUGCAUGCAUAUUUAAUGUAUGACGUCACCCACACAGAGUGAGAGCUCGAGGUUUUCUUUGAAAGUUUGAUGGAAAAUGUACAGAGACUUGUCGCAGUUAAUGCAGUACCAAAUGCUUGCUUUCUUGGAGUAUGUGCUUGAAACAAGAAUGUCCUGGAGAAAACAGACCACCACAAGAGAAGGGAUUGAGAAGGAGGGCUUCCUGUUGACAGAUCAGGGGGUGCCUUGAGGUUCCACUCUUGAUGUUCUGCCCCUUACCUGAAAGCGAUGGCCUCUUGUGCCUGACAUAUUAGGAGCAAAGCACAAUGGACCGCUGGCUUAUUGGAAUUGGUUACAAAGAUACAAGUGGACUUGUC